CUCACUUCCUGCUAUAUCCGGCCGUCACCACUAAGGACGCUACCGACACCACCAACUCCAGGGACCCUCCACAUCGAUGCCAGGGACCCCUGCCUGCCCCGAUGGACAGACUACAGACCAAAGCCAAGUGCUAUGUUCAGCCAAUCAAUGGCCACAGCGGUGACCUGCCUCAUCUAGUGAUUGGCUGAGUGGGUUUUUCCUGUGUGUCCAGAUGGAGGACAAAAAGCUCUACGCAAGCAGGACCGGCACCAGAGGGGGAUCAGCAGCAGAAAUGAAUAAUACACUGGAGAAGAAUCGUCUGGUCGAAUGCUGUGGAUUAAUUAAAAAAAGAUGAUGUUCUCAGGAUAAAUAUAAAAUAUUAAAAUGGAUGUGAACAGAGACAAGACAUUCGGGGGCCGUGUCAUGAAGACAAGUGGCGUCCGUAUACCCCAACAGUAUUCCAGGAGAUGGACCUAAUCCACUCUCAAAGCAGAAUAGAACAGAGGAUGUAAAAAACAUAUACGUUCUGCGUGAUGUGAACACAACCUAAGACUUGGCAAUCUCGCAACUCAGGCAAUAGGAGUUUUACACAGACACCCUCAUACAGGACAAACCUACAGCCUCCCCCCACUGUCCAUAGACAUAAAUUACCCUGGACGUCACAUGCUAAGCAUAGUGCGCCAAAAAAAUGCUUCCCGAGAAUGCGGAUUGCACAACGCUUGAAAACCACGGACAGGUGUUUUCUACUUCUGCUAGAAAGUGAACAUCUUCAGAAACCCGUAAAGAAUCGCAGGCAUUCGCCUCAAUCUGCCGGAGCUGAUGUUUUUAUCAGAGAUUCAAGGACUUCCCGCAUUCUGCUGAGCUCCGGCCUUCGGCUGAAUCUCAAUGAAAAUAGCCGAUGAUUUUGGGCCUGAACUUUGAAACCUGAACUUAUGUACUUGGGGGAUUAAAACUGUUUGUGUAACCUUGGGCCUGUACUGUAACAGCACAUCUAUGUACCCAGCGGAUUGUAAAUUGGAUUUUUAGCAUUUCACCUUGUACGUUUUAUUUUUAUAACUUCCCAAAAAAAA